rnacentral:rRNA from 1 species
UGACUGUAGGUGAAAGCUUACAUCUCUUCGGAGCAUUUUACGAGGUGCUGCAUGGUUGUCGUCAGCUCGUGCCGUGAGGUGUCGGGUUAAGUCCCAUAACGAGCGCAACCCUACCUUUAGUUGCCAUCAGGUUAAGCUGGGGACUCUAAAGGAACUGCCUACGCAAGUAGUGAGGAAGGCGGGGAUGACGUCAAAUCAGCACGGCCCUUACGUCCAGGGCUACACACGUGCUACAAUGGCCGAUACAGAGGGCAGCUACCUGAUGACAGGAUGCAAAUCUCCAAAGUCGGUCUCAGUUCGGAUCGGAGUCUGCAACCCGACUCCGUGAAGUUGGAUUCGCUAGUAAUCGCGCAUCAGCCAUGGCGCGGUGAAUACGUUCCCGGGCCUU